rnacentral:snoRNA from 1 species
AAGCCAUGAUGAGGACAAGCAUUGAUGGCCUCCAUAUACCUUUCCCAACAUUCAUAGAACUUCUCAUUUUCUUUUGCAAAAAAGUUUGAAAUUUGCCUUUUUAAGCUA